rnacentral:rRNA from 1 species
AGAGUUUGAUCCUGGCUCAGGACGAACGCUGGCGGCGUGCCUAAUACAUGCAAGUCGAGCGGAGUAUUUCUUUCGGGAAAUGCUUAGCGGCGGACGGGUGAGUAACACGUAGGUAACCUGCCUAUCAGAUCGGGAUAACUAUCGGAAACGAUAGCUAAGACCGGAUAACUGGUUUUCUCGCAUGAGAGAAUUAUGAAACACGGAGCAAUCUGUGGCUGAUAGAUGGGCCUGCGGCGCAUUAGCUAGUUGGUGGGGUAACGGCUCACCAAGGCGACGAUGCGUAGCCGACCUGAGAGGGUGAACGGCCACACUGGGACUGAGACACGGCCCAGACUCCUACGGGAGGCAGCAGUAGGGAAUCUUCCGCAAUGGACGCAAGUCUGACGGAGCAACGCCGCGUGAGUGAUGAAGGUUUUCGGAUCGUAAA